rnacentral:rRNA from 1 species
ACGCUCGACACCUACAGGAGGCAGCAGUGGGGAAUAUUGCACAAUGGGGGAAACCCUGAUGCAGCGACGCCGCGUGAGUGAAGAAGUAUUUCGGUAUGUAAAGCUCUAUCAGCAGGGAAGAAGAUGACGGUACCUGAGUAAGAAGCCCCGGCUAACUACGUGCCAGUAGCCGCGGUAAUCUGAGCGGGCUGGCAAGGC